UACAGGGGGUGCAAACGUUGCUCGGAAUUAUUGGGCGUAAAGCGCGCGUAGGCGGCCACUUAAGUCGGAUGUGAAAGCCCUUGGCUCAACUGAGGAAGUGCACCCGAAACUGAAUGGCUUGAGUACUAAAGAGGGUCGCGGAAUUCCCGGUGUAGAGGUGAAAUUCGUAGAUAUCGGGAGGAACACCGGUGGCGAAGGCGGCGACCUGGGUAGAUACUGACGCUGAGGCGCGAAAGUGUGGGGAGCGAACAGG
rnacentral:rRNA from 1 species